UUAUUAAAAUGUCUUUCAGUCAGUCUGUUAUGUUGAUCAUGAUGGUUUGAUUAGAACACAAAUUCUGACCUGCUUUGAUUAGGUUUUGAUAUUUGAAGGGAUCGGACGAUUACGUUAGGGCUCGGCAACGACUUCCAUACAUUUCGAAUUCUUCGGCCUUGUAUCAUCUUUGAGGUUGAAAGGAAGGACUUUCUGGUAUUUUCUGCCCAGCAGAUUAAAGUUAGGUUCCAGGUAUCCAGUAUAGUUAAUUGUUAAUUCGACUUAGAAAUGCGGGGAUAUGGUAGAGAUGAAUUCCAUCAAUCAGUCAAAGAAUAUGAUGAUUUUGAGGACAGGGUGAGAUACGGGGAAGCGGAGGAAGGAAAAGAAGAUACAAAGCGCACCAAGGUAACAGUGGCACGUCUUGAGUUUAGACAGUGUUUGAAAGAACAACAAAGAAAGAAGUUUGAGACGGAUGGUGGUUCUUCUCGAGACAAGUCCUAUGAAAAGAAGAAGCUACCCUAUGAUAAGUAAGUGGCUACUGUAACUGCCUUCUUUCAUGUGAUAAAAAACUCAAGAUUUCUUUAUAGCAUGAGGACGGUGGUAUUGGUCUUUGCUACCACUUAUUUCAUCCUCCUUUUCUUUUAGAGGGUUUGAACUGUUUUAAAUCUAUUGUUGUCAUUGCGAGGACAUUUUGAGUCUUAUGUAUAACUAUAUUUUUUUUUUUUGUCAAACAAUAGAUUUUGUUAGAUUAGAUAGAUUAGUCAUCAACGAAAUUUAAACACACGCCGUCAUGCAAGAGCUCAACACAUUUCCACCAUUAUAUUGAUGAACAAUAUUUGAUCAUGUUAUUUGGAUUAUAGUAAAGCAACGAAUUCAACCAAAUAGUUGCUUUGUGAGUUGUGUAUAGAUUUUCUUAGUGGUAUUUUACUUUUAUUUGAAACUGCAUCGAGUACAGUUUUUUAUUUAUUUAUUUAUUUUUUAAUUUUGGGAAAACCUUUCCGAAAAAAGGAGACAAUUUUAUUUCAAACACUAAAUUACAAAGAGAGGCCCACAUAGAAAAAGAACCAUACACAGAAAUGGACCUCCCAACAAACCCAACAAAGCUCAACAAAAGGGCCCAACAUUAGAGAAAGCAAAAGACAAUUCUUGACCCCAGCAUCCACCGCCUUCAAAGUUAUCCUGAUCAACCCAGAACCAAUCCGCUAGCCAACGCCAGAGCCAAUCGAGCAACUCCGCAGAACCCAGCCACGAAACCGUCCCGAUCGCCCAGCUUGCUCCGAUCGUCUCGAUCUCAGCCAAAAAGUGGAAGAAGUCCGAGGGAACACCUCGAACGAUAGUGCCAUCGAAGGCAGACAAAUAGAGGGAGGUGGUGUUGAAAACAACCGAGCUGAUAAUUCUAAAAGGUGUUUUAAAUUUUUUCUCAUUAUCCCGCAGUUACGGAUCUUUUUUUGGCCCAUCUCAACCAUUUUCUCAGAGAGUAAUACAAGUGACCCAGUAACUGUCAUCUAGGGUUAAUCCCCUUCAACUUGAUAAGAAAAGCUCCUGAUCGAUCUCUUCUAGAUCAAAAUCUGUAUCACAUGGCCAGAAACCCAAUGUCAUGAAUGAGGUUAUGGAGCAAAUCGUCCUUCAAAAACUAAGGUCCAAAGGAUUAGGGAUAUGAGAGAUUACUCACAAAUUUUCUCUAAGGAUGCGGAGCGUCCAGCUCCUGCCAAGGAUUGUCGCCUUCAAAAUAUCUCUCUUCCAAAUUCUGGUGUGUUGAUAUACUGCAUCUGAUCUGGCUGUUGGGUAUUUUUCUAUGCCGGUAACUUUAUCUACUCUUCCUCGAUAGAAUUUGAAUAUCCUCAUGGCGCAAUCAUUUAAAAGAGUCAACAAGUUCAUGCAUUGUAUUUUAUUAAUCACUUCACAUGAAGGAGAAGCCAUAGAAAAACUUUUCGAUAUUAACUGGUUCCUCAAGACUACUGGGUGGUUUACGAAACUGUUCAUAUUAUAAAUUACUUUGUAAUAAUCAUUUAUGCAAAAAAUUAGUAAAAUAUGAGAUCUUUUAGUUA